UACGUAGGGGGCAAGCGUUGUCCGGAAUCAUUGGGCGUAAAGCGCGUGUAGGCGGUUCCGUAAGUCUGCCGUGAAAGUCCGAGGCUCAACCUUCGAAAGCCGGUGGAUACUGCGUGACUAGAGUACGGAAGAGGAGAGUGGAAUUCCUGGUGUAGCGGUGAAAUGCGCAGAUAUCAGGAGGAACACCAGCGGCGAAGGCAGCUCUCUGGGACGUUACUGACGCUGAGACGCGAAAGCGUGGGGAGCAAACAGG
rnacentral:rRNA from 1 species